GGUGGGGGUGGUGUCUCGCUUUGUUGCCCAGGCUGAUCUCGAACUCCUGGACUCAAGCGAUCCGCCCGCCAAGGCCUCCCAAAGCGCCAGGGUUACAGGCAUGAGCCACCGCGCCCAGCCCGGGGCCGGUCAUCUUCUCCGGGGCCUUAUGCAGAGUCCGAGGCCCCCGAGCCCGCUGCCGAAGACGGAGCUCCAAGACUGAACCUCGUAAAGGGCCCAGCCGCACCUCUACCCGGAAGCGGCUCGAACUCGGGGCCGGAAGUGACUCCAUUUCUGUGCGCCGAGCUCCGCCCCACGAGCACCUGUUUCCGAGCGGAGAGCGUGGGCCGUUUCCUCUCCUGGUGUCCCGUCGCGGCUUGGGACCCGGCAAGAUGGGCAAGAAGGGCAAGAAGGAGAAGAAGGGCCGCGGCGCGGAGAAGACGGCCGCCAAGAUGGAGAAGAAGGUGUCUAAGCGCUCGCGGAAGGAGGAGGAAGACUUGGAAGCGCUCAUAGCCCAUUUCCAGACACUCGAUGCCAAGAGGACUCAGACUGUGGAAGUUCCAUGCCCCCCGCCCUCACCAAGGUUAAAUGCCUCCCUCUCGGUUCAUCCUGAGAAAGAUGAGUUAAUCCUUUUUGGAGGUGAAUAUUUCAACGGCCAAAAAACUUUUUUGUAUAACGAACUCUAUGUCUACAAUAUCAGAAAGGACACCUGGACCAAAGUUGACAUCCCCAGUCCACCUCCGAGGCGCUGUGCUCACCAGGCGGUGGUGGUGCCUCAAGGUGGCGGACAGCUGUGGGUCUUUGGAGGGGAGUUUGCCUCUCCCAACGGAGAGCAGUUCUACCACUACAAGGAUCUCUGGGUCCUGCAUUUGGCCACCAAGACCUGGGAACAAGUCAAAUCAACAGGCGGUCCUUCGGGUCGGAGUGGACAUCGGAUGGUGGCCUGGAAGAGACAAUUGAUCCUUUUUGGUGGCUUCCAUGAAAGUACACGGGAUUACAUCUACUAUAACGACGUGUAUGCCUUUAAUCUGGACACCUUCACAUGGAGCAAGCUGUCCCCGUCAGGGACGGGGCCCACACCCAGAUCAGGCUGCCAGAUGUCCGUCACUCCCCAGGGCGGCAUCGUCGUCUAUGGGGGCUACUCGAAACAGAGAGUUAAGAAAGACGUGGACAAGGGCACACGGCACUCAGACAUGUUCCUGCUGAAGCCGGAGGACGGGAGAGAAGACAAGUGGGUGUGGACUCGGAUGAACCCUUCGGGGGUCAAGCCCACCCCACGGUCUGGCUUUUCCGUGGCCAUGGCCCCGAAUCACCAGACACUGUUCUUCGGGGGUGUCUGUGACGAGGAAGAGGAGGAGAGCCUGUCGGGCGAGUUCUUCAACGAUCUGUACUUCUACGACGCCACCAGGAACCGUUGGUUUGAGGGACAGCUGAAGGCUGUGACAAACCCUGUGCCCACGCUGCCUGCACUGCCAGGAGACUCAGGGCUGGGGGAGACAUGCCCCGGUCACCACUGCGGAGACUCAGGGCUGGUGGCUGCCCUGGCCACCACUGGUGAGCCAGCGAGACAGGACCCUGCGCGCGCUGACCUGGGGACGCCACGGAACUCACUCGCGAUUCCUGCUCACAGCACGUUUCCUGCUCGGAAACCAGGAGAGCCUCCACGUGCCAACUAGCUCUGUCCACACAUCCAUUGCGCAGCUCUGCAGCGGGAGGACCUUCAGUAAAGACGCUGGUUUGUAAUGAGACAAGCGUUCCAAAGUGUCACAAGACAUUGUUUAUUACUAAAAGGAGCAGAAUUUCUUUUUAAUCUUGACAGUGUUCCUUGUUUUCGUAACAGUAUGAUUUAAACUGUUACAUUCAUUUAGGAAAACUAUUUUUCAUUUCAUAAGUAAUCAAGCUAUCUUUCCAGCUUAAAAGCAAAGAAAAAAGGCUCAGGGUAACUUUUUAAACCACUUCAUCAAUAAGAAAAGUUGUCUCUUUGUCAUUGAACGGAAUGAUUGUACACAGUAUUAGCAAGCAGUUCACAUGCGCCAGGGCCGACUUGGAAGGAAACACAGGUUAACACUGUUUUCUGUCCGAGUUCACAGAGAUGUUUGCAGCAGGCUCAGUUCCUUUGGCAGCUGGAGCGAGGGUGCCUCUUCCGCGUGGCUCCCCUGAGCUGAGAGGCCCCUGUGGUUUUUUUCUCCGCCGGGUUCUGGGGACAGGGUUUCUGUGGAAAUGGCAAAUGGUGCAGAUGAGCAGAGUCCUGCUAGAGAGGUCAGCUCAGUGUCCAGGAGGGGGCGCCUGCCCCCGAGGAGGCCACGGACGUGCCUGGGAAGGUGCUGCCGGAGAAGUGUGCUCUGAUGUGGCCACACUUGGGGACGCGGGCUCCCCAGAGGCCCAAGUGAGAAAGCCGGGGGUUCCCAGGCUGGGGGUGCAGGACGGGCCAGGCACUGCCCUGCAGGGCCCGCCCCCCUACCCCUGCACCCUCACACCCAUCUUCCUCUCUCAGCCUGACCCCAGGGCCUGGGAGCCCCCGGUAGACCAGCCCUCCUUGCCAAACAGUGGCUGCCCUUUAUGGACUCGGCGUCUGGCAGAGCCACUGUGGAGGAGGAGUUGGCUGUCAUGGUUGGGGGAGGCAGCCCUUGGGUUGUCAAGGUUGGUGGUCAACAUUGAACCCAUAUCUGCUGGAAUCUGCCGGUCUGUUCCACACACGAUCAUGCGGGAAGCUCUGGGACCCGAAGGCUGUUCUCGUCUCGGGGGUCACAAGUUCUCACAGCAGCCUGGGGUCACCAGGGACCAGACCCGGCAUUAGCCUCUGUAAGGAGCUGCCUGGCUGCUGGGCUGAGCUUUGUUGCAGGCCCAGGAAGAUGACCAAGAAGGACAGAGCAGAGCCCCAUCCACCACUGCUGGGAGGGCCCCAGGGAGCACGUGCACAGCGGAGCCCCAUUCGCCACUCCCUGGGCUCGAAGAGGCUUCCUCGGUGUGGAUGGCAGCUGUUAACGAGCAGUGGUGGUGCAGCUGGAGGCCUCUGUCCCAUGGGGCACAGACAUGGGGGAAGGAUGGCGGACGGGAGUGGACGAGGCGGACGAGUGGCAGUGAGGUAGGCGUGUGAGGUUGUUGCCUGGCCCACUCCGCCGACCCCAGAAACCCAGCGGCCUGGGCCCAGCACCCGGAUACACAUGGGGUGAGCUCACGCCCACGCUGUGGCCUGUGUCCGUCACGGGGCUGCUUGCUUCUCCUAGGCUUGGGAACAAGCUGGCACGAACGCUGUGGCCGCAUUCACAGCUCAGGCACUUCCACUUUGGGUUUCAUGAAGAAAGAGACUUAAAGAGCAUUUGUUCCUAAUGGGUGGGCUGAAGCUUGGGAGGAGCAUUCAGCUUCUCUCCACAGUAUGGCUUCACCUGUUCCUGAGUGCCCUGCUACCCUCUUGCUAACCUGGGUGGCUGAGGUCCUCUGCUUUGGUGGCGUUGACUGCCUGUCUGCAGCCAGCGCCAGGUGCCAGCCCCCGCCUCUGCUCAUCGGGAAGCGCUGGCCUGCAGGUGCUUCGUGGUUGCCACGGACCCUUGUUCUGUCCCUUUCCAGCACCCACCCCCCACCCGCUGUGCGUUCCGUGGUUCAUUUUCAAGGCAGGGGGCACAUGGUGAAAAUACAGCCUGGCUUUUUUUCAACAAAGGCAGCUGCACUUUUCGUUGUUUGUUUUGAAGGCUGAGCCGGCAACCUCCUUGGCACCUGGGGACAGUCGCUUCCUCAGUUUCUGCGUACCGACUGCCUCACCUGACACGCGGCCUGGGCGCGAGAGAAGCCAACCAGGUGCCUGAGUUGACUGACUCCUUCUGCCCUCCAACCUGCUCCCUCCGCCCCCCGCCCUCCAACCUCCUCCCUCCGCCCUCCAACCUCCUCCCUCUGCCCUCCAACCUCCUCCCUCCGCCCUGCAACCUCCUCCCUCUGCCCUAUAACCUCCUCCCUCCGUCCUCCAACCUCCUCCAUCUGCCCUCCAACCUCCUCCCUCCACCGUUUCCUCCCUCCACCUCUUCUCUCCUCCCUCCCUCUCUUCCCUCUGUCCUCUUCUUCUGCCCUCCUCCCUCCACCCACCUUCCUCCCUCCACCCUCUUCCCUCUGCCCUCCUCCCUCUGCCUCCUCCCUCCACCCUCUGCCCUCCUCCCUCCACCCUCUGCCCUCCUCCCUCUGCCUCCUCCCUCUGCCCUCCUCCCUCCGCCUUAUCUGGAAUCGGGGUCCUGGUCCCGGGCUAGAGGCAGACCCUGGCCCGGGCGAGGUUAAAGGCACUGCAGGAGGGCAGCGUCAUGAUGUCCUGAAGCUUGCUGCGCCUGGUGCUGUCGGCCGGCUGAAGGGAGAAACAGUCACGGCACCUACAGCUAUGGAAGGCGACGACCGAAAAUCUAAUAGGCACCUUGAUGUCAAGUUUCCAAGACCAAAGGCAAGAACAGUCAGAUCAAACUUAGGAAGAGUCAGAGAAACUGAGCAUGACCUAGAGGAGGGAGACGGUCCUUCCGCUGUCUCCUCCAGAGCGUCUGUUGCACGUAUGAGGUGAAAUCCACACUGUCCCAUGAAGACUGUGAGGGGAGUUGCCGCCCACACACGGCCCAGGAGCGCCAGCAGCUUGGGGACCACCACAGGCCUCAGGGUCUCUUCAGUCCGGCGGGUCCAACUGUCGAUAAAACUUCUGGGGAAGGAGUAAAGGACAACCAAGAACCUGAACUGCAAAGUAUGGAAAACAUUUCAUUUCCCUCGAGUUCUCCACACUUUAGGUCUGCAGUGCCUUGGGGGUGACUGAUGGCCCUCAGUGAGACGGGGUGGCCGUGUGCUUCUAAAAGUGAAAAGGAGCAAGUGUGGUUAGAGCCAGGGGCAUGGUUAGAGCCUGGAGUAUGGAUGUCCCGUGGACCGCUGGCCCAUGGCCUGGCUUGGGGCCUUACAGGGGAGCGAGUUGAGUGCAUGCAGGGGAGGGCCCGUCUUUCUACAGUGUGUAUCUUGUUUUUGAGACAGACUCACCCUGUCGUCCAGGCUGGAGUGCAGUGGCGCGAUCUCGGCUCACUGCAACCUCUGCCUCCCAGGUUCAAGCGAUUCUCCUGCCUCAGCCUCCUCAGUAGCUGGGAUUACAGGCACCUGCCACCACGCCUGGCUAAUGUUUGUAUUUUUUUUUUUAGUAGAGAUGGGGUUUCACUAUGUUGGUCAGGCUGGCCUCGAACUCCUGACCUCAGGUGAUCCACCUGCCUUGGCCUCCCAAAAUGCUGGGAUUACAGGCAUGAGCCACCGCGCCCGGCCCUGCCCUGCUUUUCUACAUCACCACUGUCUUGUCAGUUAGCUCGGCUCAGGCAUUGCAUGCCUGAUCUGUAUCUUUGGGAAUCCUGUGAGCUAAUGGUUCCAGAUCCAAAAGAAUGGAUGAAGAGACUGUUUCAGGUUCCCGAAAUUAUCCAGGCACAUUCUGUGCGCUACUGAACUUCAGAAGGCACCAGUCCAUCCAGUGUGCAGAGGCUGGUGAGUAGAACAGGCCAGCCAUGGGCACAGACAGGUUCACCAGAGGCCCUGGGGCAGAGGGUCUUCUCCAGCUCUUCCAGGGCGGGGCUCAUCUGUUCCUGGGCCAGAGGUGGACCUGUCUGCAGGCUUGUAAGGGUGGGGAGACGCCAGCCUGGCCCAUGGGCUGUCCACACCCACCCCCCGCAGACCGCGCUGCCAUCUGGAGGGGAUGCCACCACUUCCUCCUGGCCUCGGGUGCACAGGUGAAACACGAAGAAGCUAUUGGGGCGGAAAAUGGCUCUCACCAGGCUGCUCUCGGGUUAAUGAAAACUCGUCAAAUUCUCCAUGCAGCAGCAGCCAGCCGGGCACACGCUGUCCUGGCCUGCCCUACUGUGUGGAGGGAAGCAGGUCCCCUGGGCGGAGGGACUGCGUGCCUGUCAGGGAAGGCCGAGGCUCCGGACAGGCGGGAAGCAGCCUUCUGCUUAAUCACCCCAUGUGGAAACCAAUUAAAGAUUCGAUUCUCUCAGACCCGGGGCAUUUUAGCCUUGGUUGAAUCCUCCUGGAAUUCACAGGGAAGUGGCUUUGCCCUCUGCCCUCACUGCUGGAAGGCAAGGGGCCAGCCUCGGCUUGGUUUUCUAGGUUGUGUUGCGGCAGGAGCUGACGGCCCCUAGGCCUAGAUCUCUGCACGACUUCGCUCAGGGAUACCUGCCUCCGUGCAUGUCUCAUGGUGUGAAUGUGUCUCCUGCUCACAGGUACCGUUUUGUGUCAUGCAGUUACUGGAAUGUACAAAAGCAGCUGUGAUCUUUGUGAGAGCUGCAAAGAGCAGGAGUCUUUAUUUGGUUCACUUCUGGUCUGCAGCAACCACUUGAUACUAAAAAAUGGAAAAGAUGUACAAAAAGAUGUCACAGCCCUUUAGAAAGCGACAUUAUCAGAAACGUAUGACCUUCAGUCCUCCUCAGUCCUCCCUCCCUCUCCUAUGCCCCCACCAGACCAGGCCGCGAGAAGGAACAGGGAGUGAACAUAUAACGGAAAACAAUAAAACUGAAUUUAACUGGAA